GAUGAACGCUGGCGGCGUGCCUAAUACAUGCAAGUCGAGCGAAUGGAUUAAGAGCUUGCUCUUAUGAAGUUAGCGGCGGACGGGUGAGUAACACGUGGGUAACCUGCCCAUAAGACUGGGAUAACUCCGGGAAACCGGCGCAAAUACCGGAUAACAUUUUGAACCGCAUGGUUCGAAAUUGAAAGGCGGCUUCUGCUGUCACUUAUGGAUGGACCCGCGUCGCAUGAGCUAGUUGGUGAGGUAACGGCUCACCAAGGCAAAGAUGCGUAGCCGACCUGGGAGGGUGAUCGGCCACCCGGGGACUGAGACACGGCCCAGACUCCUACGGAAGGCAGCAGUAGGGAAUCUUCCGCAAUGGACGAAAGUCUGACGGAGCAACGCCGCGUGAGUGAUGAAGGCUUUCGGGUCGUAAAACUCUGUUGUUAGGGAAGAACAAGUGCUAGUUGAAUAAGCUGGCACCUUGACGGUACCUAACCAGAAAGCCACGGCUAACUACGUGCCAGCCGCCGCGGUAA
rnacentral:rRNA from 1 species